rnacentral:rRNA from 1 species
CAUGUUGGUUUAAUUCGAUGCAACGCGAAGAACCUUACCUGGUCUUGACAUCCCGGAGACCCUUAGGAAACUAAGGGGGUGGCUUCCAUCUGGAAGAAUCUGGAGACAGGUGCUGCAUGGCUGUCGUCAGCUCGUGUCGUGAGAUGUUGGGUUAAGUCCCGCAACGAGCGCAACCCUUGCCUUUAGUUGCCAGCAGUUCGGCUGGGCACUCUAAAGGGACUGCCGGUGUUAAACCGGAGGAAGGUGGGGAUGACGUCAAGUCCUCAUGGCCUUUAUGACCAGGGCUACACACGUACUACAAUGGCCGAUACAAAGGGCAGCGACACUGCGAGGUGAAGCCAAUCCCGUAAAAUCGGUCUCAGUCCGGAUUGGAGUCUGCAACUCGACUCCAUGAAGUUGGAAUCGCUAGUAAUCGUGGAUCAGCAUGCCACGGUGAAUACGUUCCCGGGCCUU